CCUUGGCCUCCCAAAGUGCUGGGAUCACAAGUGUAAGCCACCAUGCCCGGCCUACACCACUAAAUUUAAGAUGUUUAAAUACCUGCUGUUUUUCUCACUACAAAAUAAUAUAUAUGUAUACCAAAAAAAGGUUUUUAAUUAAAAAUAAUAAACUUAUUUAAUGAUCUAUGUAAAUUUGAAACCACCCAAAGAUAGCCAUUAAUAACCUUGCUUUGGCUCUUUCCCUAAGCGGCCUGAGGUAAUCUGAAAAUGGUUCGCUAUUCACUUAACCCGGAGAACCCCACGAAAUCAUGCAAAUCAAGAGGUUCCAAUCUUCGUGUUCACUGUAAGAACACUCGUGAAACUGCCCAGGCCAUCAAGGGUAUGCAUAUUCGAAAAUCCACGAAGUAUCUGAAAGAUGUCACUUUACAGAAACAGUGCGUACCAUUCCGACGUUACAAUGGUGGAGUUGGCAGGUGUGCCCAGGCAAGACAAGGUCGGUAGCCCAAAAAGAGUGCUGAAUUUUUGCCGCAUAUGCUUAAAAACGCAGAGAGUAAUGCUGAACUUAAGGGUUUAGAUGUAGAUUCUCUGGUCAUCGAGCAUAUCCAAGUGAACAAAGCACCUAAGAUGCGCCGACGGACCUACAGAGCUCGUGGUCGGAUUAACCCAUACAUGAGCUCUCCCUGCCACAUUGAGAUGAUCCUUACUGAAAAGGAACAGAUUGUUCCUAAACCAGAAGAGGAGGUUGCCCAGAAGAAAAAGAUAUCCCAGAAGAAACUGAAGAAACAAAAACUUAUGGCACGGGAGUAAAUUCAGCAUUAAAAUAAAUGUAAUUAAAAGGAAAAAAAAA